GGUUCAAUCCUGGCAAAGAUAUUAUCCAUGCAACUUGCGCCCCCCGGAAGGAAACGAUACUGCUACCACCAUGGACUUGUGGAGCUGUGGAGCACUAGUUGCAACUAGAAUAAUUGUAAUCUUCAAUGUCCACAUUUCUGUCGGUAGCACGAGCUAGCGGUGGCCGGGAUCGCUAGCUAGUGGCCGCGCCAUUCCGCGCCACUUGUUUGAAUUUCUCUGUUAUCAUUAGCUACAACUACACGGCAAGAGAAAAAGAAGGGCCCGGCCGCCGGCCGGCCUCGUUUCGAUCUACAGCGCGCCGCACCCGCAGAGAGGAGGCGAGACGGUGACGCCUCGUGCGAGCCCGGCCAUGGAAGCAAUCAAGUGUUGAUGUAGCCACAGUUCUUUUUCACAUGAUUUAUAAGAUAAAGUUGCUGGUUCUCUUACCUGCAGAUAUACUGUAUGACUCCUGGUCGCCCGCAAUGACUGUAAGUUCAGUCUGUAUCAGCAUCUUGUCCAUGCUGUCUAGCUCGCCAGCAAAGCAACGUCCGCAAGACAAUGACCGCUAUGUUAGGAACUGCCGCAACGGAAGGUCUCCUUCAGUCUCCGAAGGAGACCAGAUGGUGGUUCCAUGAUGACAAAGUAUAAGGAGGCGUCGGAUGGCUCUUCUGGCCACCCCAUAUUCGCCAGUCAGCCCUCCUUACAGUGAAAUCUCUUCCAAGGGGAGAUGAGAUGAUUUAGGAGUAAAAUUUUAAGCACCCCUCUUAUCGGUACCGCAAAGCUUAACAUGUUGUGGUGGUUUGUACAUGAGCUGAACAUAUGUAUCGAAAACGUGAAGAUAUCAUCGCGGUCAAUGAGUUAUAUAGAAUAAGCAAGAGUGUAACUGUUGGGUUUGCUGAUACAGGCACAAAAGGAGUGCAGGUUUAUCUAUGACUUGCUAAAUCAUCCGUGCUAUCUAUCUGCAUAUGAAUUUAUUGAAAUUGUAGUUAUCAUAUUGAUG